rnacentral:rRNA from 1 species
UACGUAGGAGGCGAGCGUUGUCCGGAGUUACUGGGCGUAAAGGGUGCGCAGGUGGCCGUGCGCGUGGGGAGUGAAAUCGCCUGGCUUAACUGGGCGGGGGCUUUCCAGACGGCGCGGCUUGAGCCACAGAGGGGGGCGUGGAAUUCCGGGUGGAGCGGUGAAAUGCGUAGAUAUUGGGAGGAACACCAGUGGCGAAGGCGGCUCACUGGACCGGUUCUGACGCUGAGGCGCGAAAGCGUGGGGAGCAAACGGG